rnacentral:rRNA from 1 species
GAUGAACGCUGGCGGCGUGCCUAAUACAUGCAAGUCGAGCGAACAGACGAGGAGCUUGCUCCUCUGACGUUAGCGGCGGACGGGUGAGUAACACGUGGAUAACCUACCUAUAAGACUGGGAUAACUUCGGGAAACCGGAGCUAAUACCGGAUAAUAUAUUGAACCGCAUGGUUCAAUAGUGAAAGACGGUUUUGCUGUCACUUAUAGAUGGAUCCGCGCCGCAUUAGCUAGUUGGUAAGGUAACAGCUUACCAAGGCAACGAUGCGUAGCCGACCUGAGAGGGUGAUCGGCCACACUGGAACUGAGACACGGUCCAGACUCCUACGGGAGGCAGCAGUAGGGAAUCUUCCGCAAUGGGCGAAAGCCUGACGGAGCAACGCCGCGUGAGUGAUGAAGGUCUUCGGAUCGUAAAACUCUGUUAUUAGGGAAGAACAAUUGUGUAAGUAACUAUGCACGUCUUGACGGUACCUAAUCAGAAAGCCACGGCUAACUACGUG